rnacentral:rRNA from 1 species
UCGGGAAUUUUGGGCAAUGGGCGAAAGCCUGACCCAGCAACGCCGCGUGAGGGAUGAAGUAUUUCGGUAUGUAAACCUCGAAAGAAUGGGAAGAAUAAAUGACGGUACCAUUUAUAAGCUCCGGCUAACUACGUGCCAGCAGCCGCGGUAAUACGUAGGGAGCAAGCGUUGUUCGGAUUUACUGGGCGUAAAGGGCGCGUAGGCGGCGCGGUAAGUCACUUGUGAAAUCUCUGAGCUUAACUCGGAACGGCCAAGUGAUACUGCUGUGCUAGAGUGCGGAAGAGGCAACCGGAAUUCUUGGUGUAGCGGUGAAAUGCGUAGAUAUCAAGAGGAACACCUGAGGCGAAGGCGGGUUGCUGGGCCGACACUGACGCUGAUGCGCGAAAGCCAGGGGAGCAAACG